CAGCCGGCUCUGAGCGGGGGCCGUGUGGGCAUGGUCCGUAUGGGAAGCGCUGCUCUGGGUUUCCCCAGAGCUCCAGGCUGUGCAGUGCUUGUUUCCCAGGUUCGGGGUCCCUUGAUCCCAGGACGGGAGAUUGGGGGUCACCUCAGCGCGCCCGUUCGUGGGAAAAGGCGAGCUCUGAGUCAGCUGUGCUGGGGGAAAUCCAGCGCUGCUCGGACCCCUCUCGGUUGUUUUCCUAAAUGCACCUCUGACUCCUUGCAGAGCCCAUGCCCGGGGGCUCAGGUGGUGGUGGUGAUUAUCCUGGACCCGUAGCACUUCUUCUACAGCUGGAAUGAAUCUAACAGCUCCUCUGCAGAUUACUGCUGUCCCUGUUCCCUGGAACAUCAUUUGACUCUCUACCCUAAAGCUUUUUAUCACAUCAGUUACUCCAAAAAUUGACGGAACAUCAUGGCAUUCUAACUUGUGGAUAACAAGUGUCCUUAGAGCACAGUUAAUGUGUCUGGGCCUAAGGGAUCACUCCUGUGCUCCUGGGGUUAAUUGCAGAUUUAGCAACAGAAAUCAAGUCCCAUAAGCUUGAUUUAUAGUAUGUUGAGAGUAUUUUUCUUUCUCCUAUUUUUCCCUUAACACUUGUCCAUGGUACUUAGCUCAGAGGGAGCAUGUGUUUUGUUGUAAGCGGCACCAGAGAAAGGUGUUGUGCAAAUGAACACAAAUCUGCUGCAAGAGGCUGCAGAGCUUGUCUGCCUGGACACCUGCCACAGCAGGUUAGAUCCCUCAGAAAUCUGAUAAUCUUUCUUCAUCCUGGUAAUCUGAACAGCAGCAUCUUGCCAUGUUGUAGGGCUGAGGGAUGAAGUACAUUAGUCUGCUUGGUUGCUGGAAUUCAGAGACUUGUGGGUUUGUAUUCAGAAGUGCAUGUGAAGCCUGAAGAGCAUCUGCUUUUUACACAAACAUCAUUCAAGGCUGGCAGCUGAGACGGCGACCUUGGCUACGAUAUGGAGAUCUCCAAAUGGAGCAGAACUCUCGGCUUUUCUGUCAGACUCCCCUCCAAUCUGUGCUGUUAAUCAAACCCUACAGUAACACUUCUUCUGAAGCAUGAUUUUGGUGAAUUUAUUUAACCUUGUACACGACAGGAAUUGCGCAGGGCAACGUAACAACGUUAACUUGACCCUGAUCUUGGCGGGCUGCUGAAGGAACUGUUCUUGUCAGUACACAGAGCUGGCUGGGAGCUCUGGGAGCAACAGAGCAGGGAAAAGUCAGGAAAAGGGUGCCUUGUCAACUGCUCUCCAGUGCCCUCUCUUUGGAAAUACUGCCAGAGCUUACGUGUUGAAGGUGAAGUAAAUACUAAUAAAGCUGCCGUUAAUUAAAAUUU